rnacentral:rRNA from 1 species
UGGGUAACCUGCCCUUCACUCUGGGAUAACGUCGGGAAACCGGUGCUAAUACUGGAUAUGACCUACUCGGGCAUCCGAUGUGGGUGGGAAAGAUUUAUUGGUGGAGGAUGGACUCGCGGCCUAUCAGCUUGUUGGUGAGGUAAUGGCUCACCAAGGCGACGACGGGUAGCCGGCCUGAGAGGGCGAUCGGCCACACUGGGACUGGAGACACGGUCCAGACUCCUAACGGGGAGGCC